rnacentral:lncRNA from 1 species
GAGGAUGAGGAGAAUAAGGUGUUCUAAUUCCUCAUGGGCCUUAAUGAGACAUAUAUGGGGGUAAGGAGCAACUUGCUGAUGAUGCAGCCUCCCCCUACCCUUGACAGUGUCUAUAACAUACUCCUCAAUGAUGAGAAACAAAGACAAGUCCAGUCCAUCUCCCAGUUCAAUAUUGAUUCUAUGUCUUUCACUGUCAACACAAACAAAAAUUCUACACCUUCUUUUGGAAUGAAUCAAGUUUCAGUGCCCAGCCCUUCUCCUCUCAGACAGUAUACACAAAAAGUUAAUUUUGACCAAAUCAGAGGACCUCUAUUCUGUAGAUACUGCAAGAAGUCUGGGCACGUAAUUGAUAAGUGUUACAAGCUUCAUGGGUAUCCACAAAGCACCAAGUUUAACAAAGGGAAGAGAACUGUUGCUGCUCAUAUAACCACUGGUGCUGAUUUCACCUCUUUUGAAGGAUACACAUCUAAUCCUCCUGGAAAUUCCACUGAGGGUCAUCAAUCUAUCCCAAAUAUGGAUGGACAAGGAUCUGUAAUCCCAAUUUCACCUCUUCUGAAGGACACACAUCUGAUGCUCAUGGAAAUCCCACUGAGGGUCAACAACCUGUCCCAAAUGUGGAUGGACAAGGAUCUGUAAUCCCAGGCUUGAACAUACAACAAUAUGAUCAGCUGAUGACUCUG